rnacentral:piRNA from 1 species
UGGGUGAUCACUGCUGCAGGGUUUCU